GAUGAACGCUAGCGGCAGGCCUAAUACAUGCAAGUCGAACGGGAUCCAGAUCAAAGCUUGCUUUGGUUUGGUGAGAGUGGCGCACGGGUGCGUAACGCGUGAGCAACCUACCCUUGUCAGGGGGAUAGCCCGGCGAAAGUCGGAUUAAUACCGCAUGACAUCAUUGAGAGGCAUCUUUCGAUGAUCAAAGAUUUAUCGGACAAGGAUGGGGCUCGCGNGACAUUAGCUAGUUGGUAAGGUAACGGCUUACCAAGGCUACGAUGUCUAGGGGCUCU
rnacentral:rRNA from 1 species